GGAGCAAACAGGAUUAGAUACCCUGGUAGUCCACGCUGUAAACGAUGUCGAUUUGAAGGUUGUUCCCUUGAGGAGUGGCUUUCGGAGCUAACGCGUUAAAUCGACCGCCUGGGGAGUACGGCCGCAAGGUUAAAACUCAAAUGAAUUGACGGGGGCCCGCACAAGCGGUGGAGCAUGUGGUUUAAUUCGAUGCAACGCGAAGAACCUUACCUACUCUUGACAUCCAGAGAACUUAGCAGAGAUGCUUUGGUGCCUUCGGGAACUCUGAGACAGGUGCUGCAUGGCUGUCGUCAGCUCGUGUUGUGAAAUGUUGGGUUAAGUCCCGCAACGAGCGCAACCCUUAUCCUUUGUUGCCAGCGAUUCGGUCGGGAACUCAAAGGAGACUGCCGGUGAUAAACCGGAGGAAGGUGGGGAUGACGUCAAGUCAUCAUGGCCCUUACGAGUAGGGCUACACACGUGCUACAAUGGCGUAUACAAAGAGAAGCGACCUCGCGAGAGCAAGCGGAACUCAUAAAGUACGUCGUAGUCCGGAUUGGAGUCUGCAACUCGACUCCAUGAAGUCGGAAUCGCUAGUAGUCGUAGAUCAGAAUGCUACGGUGAAUACGUUCCCGGGCCUUGUACACACCGCCCGUCACACCAUGGGAGUGGGUUGCAAAAGAAGUAGGUAGCUUAACCUUCGGGAGGGCGCUUACCACUUUGUGAUUCAUGACUGGGGUGAAGUCGUA
rnacentral:rRNA from 1 species